rnacentral:rRNA from 1 species
CCUACGGGUGGCAGCAGUGAGGAAUAUUGGUAAAUGGACGCAAGUCUGAACCAGCCAUGCCGCGUGCAGGAAGACGGCUCUAUGAGUUGUAAACUGCUUUUGUACGAGGGUAAACGCAGAUACGCGUAUCUGUCUGAAAGUAUCGUACGAAUAAGGAUCGGCUAACUCCGUGCCAGCAGCCGCGGUAAUACGGAGGAUUCAAGCGUUAUCCGGAUUUAUUGGGUUUAAAGGGUGCGUAGGCGGUCGGAUAAGUUAGAGGUGAAAUCCCGAGGCUCAACUUCGGAAUUGCCUCUGAUAUUGUUCGGCGAGAGAGUAGUUGCGGUAGGCGGAAUGUAUGGUGUAGCGGUGAAAUGCUUAGAGAUCAUACAGAACACCGAUUGCGAAGGCAGCUUACCAAGCUACUUCUGACGUUGAGGCACGAAAGCGUGGGGAGCAAACAGGAUUAGAGACCCUAGUAGUC